rfam:Myotis brandtii contig307951, whole genome shotgun sequence.
CAUGGGGGGGGUUGGUCCCUCAGCCUGGAUUGUAAAAGGGCACAAGCCAGGCCGAGGGACCCCACUGAUGCACA